CACGGACUUGGUGCCUGCGAGGAUCUGCGCUGGUGGGAUUCCCUAGCAAAUUAAAAACGGCAUGACAGAUCAAGAGGGAGACUGCAGUUGAAAGGACGGCGCUUCAUAAUUGAGCACCUCUGACGGCACUCUUUCUUGCAUUUGAACACGUUCAUUUUCAUUCCCCACCGGGCUCCGCGGGUUACUGGUCGGCAUGGCAACUCCAAGCAUGUGUUUUGGCUGAUCGGUGGGAAGAUAUAGGAGGGAACCCAUCAAAGCAAUACUCCAAGAGAUCAUGUGGUCCUGGACCCAGAAACUACCAAUGCUUACCUCCAAGAAGCAGAAG
rnacentral:lncRNA from 1 species